UAAAGGAGCUCCAGGUGCUCAGCAUCUUCAGGAAUUGGCCCUGCCUGAACAAGGACUGACUCAAACCAAGGAGGCCUUUGGGAUUUGGUCUCUGGCAUUUCAUUUGUUUGUUUGCCCACCUGGAUUAAGCAAUGUUUCUCUGGCAGAAUAAAAAACCACUGCAUGUUCAGAGCCCUUUUCAGUUGGAAAAGAGCCAUGGGAAACACCUCAUUACCAACAGGUAGCAAAUAUUUAGUUCUCGCAUGACCAGGUGCGGAAUCCACCUGUGGCAUGGACAAGAAAGAUGUACUUGCAGACUGGUGAUGUAGGCUCUGGUUAAGGCAACUCACUGAAAAGUGACCGUAGGUUUAUUCUCUCCACCUUAGUAUUAUGAGAGUUUUAUUUUCCUCCCUACUAACCAACCACAGUGAGUGGGGCUCCACAGAGCAGCACAGCUGAGUUUGAGAUGCCAUUGCCGCCACUCACUGUCCCCUCUUCCAACUGGAUCGCCACGGUUACCAGAUGGAGAGGAUUCCAGGAGCCACAUCUAAAAAAGUCUCCACAAGGAUCUUCUAAAAGGCAGCCCGUAACAGCCUUCUUGUGAAAGGUCAGGAGAACAGGCAGCACUCUGCAUCAUAUUGCUCCAGACACUUAACCAUGUGAACAUCCAGAGCCAUAACAAAACUACCAUUUCUGAACUGGUUUGGUCACAUACUAAAAUGAAAAGAUGCUACAAGGAUGGAUGGGGGGGAUAAUAAACCCCACACAACAGCCUCUAGUGGUACAGUUCCCAGCACAGAAGCUCCACCUUUGCAGACAAACUUACUGCAACAAAAUACAGACAGUCUCUAAUUACAGACUGUAAAUAGAAUCUGGGAGCCAUGAGGCAUGGUAGAAAUUCAAGGACACUGUAACAUGAGAGGAGAUCCUGAAAUUGUGAUCCCUUCUCCUCUUCAGUGGCUAAACCACAAAAGGGGCAGCGGGCAGAUGAGAAGUGCCUCCUGAGCAAUCAUAGAUAAGAACAGAUUUCACACUAAAAAGUCAAGAAGAAAAACUCUAGCUUUGGGAGUGAAGAGAGACUUCAGAACUGCCUUCCCAAUAUGCGACUGGCUUCUGCUGAACCAGAAAUGGCUAAUACUAUAAAAGAGACACACUCAGGAACUCCCCAUGGAAAUCAUGGCACCUGUUCCUUCAUUAAGAUACUGGUUGGCACCGCUUGUAUGCUUUAUGCCAAUAAAACUUAAAUUGUAGGCAGGGCCUCCUGAAAAGCUUUUGCCCCUCCUUCCCUGCCAUUCAUCCCAGUGCCAUCAGAAGAUGACAUUAUUUAAUUUAAUGUCUAUAAACACUCUGAAGAUGGAAAGGAUUAUAUGGUUACGUUUGUGGGCCUGUGAUGGAAUGCACCCCUUUAAUUACAUCCUAAAUACUAUUUUACUAAUGUUUGUACAAGGAAUGCCUUAUGAGCAAGGUGUGAGGUAUCAUUUGGGGGGGGGAAAACUCAGUAAUAUCAUGGUAAAAUGCAUGUAGCAACAUCAUUAUGAACAUAAGCUGAAAUCAUGAAUGAAGUGUUUCUAGAUAAGUCCGGGGAGAGAUUAAAGCCAUUUCUCAAAGACAAAAGGCAAACUAAUGCCCCCUCUUGGUGUUGUCAAAGCUGAUGGGCCAUCACCUAUCAUCUGCCAUCCUUCCUCCACCAGAUCACGUGUCUCUUGCUUCUCAGAUGGAAAUCCUUUUCAAAGAGGGACAGAAAUUAUAAAAAGGUGGGGCAAACACUGUCACCCCUCCUUUGUCUCCCUAUCCAUCUCACUUGUUGCACCUGAGAAGACCAAAGACGCAGUCACUGAAUCUGAAGUUUGGUCAGUAAUGCUAUUGGAAGCAUGU